rnacentral:rRNA from 1 species
CCAUGUCUUGUAAUUGGAAUGAGUAGAAUUCAAAUCCCUUUAUGAGUAUCGAUUGGAGGGCAAGUCUGGUGCCAGCAGCCGCGGUAAUUCCAGCUCCAAUAGCGUAUAUUAAAGUUGUUGCAGUUAAAAAGCUCGUAGUUGGAUUUCUGGCAGUGUGACUCCGGCCGGCAUGACGUCGGGUCCAGAGCGCGCUACCAUCCUUCUGUCAACCUUCGCGGGAUUCAUUUCCCGCCCUGGGGCUCAGAUAUUUUACCUUGAGAAAAUUAGAGUGUUUCAGGCAGGCUUUCGCCGGAAUACAUUAGCAUGGAAUGAUGGAAAAGGACUUCAACCUCUUCUGUUGGUCUGAGAGGCUGUAGUAAUGAUUAAUAGGGAUAGUUGGGGGCAUUAGUACUUGACUGUCAGAGGUGAAAUUCUCCGAUUUGUUAAAGACUAACUUAUGCGAAAGCAUUUGCCAAGGAUGUUUUCAUUAAUCAAGAACGAAAGUUAGGGGAUCAAAGACGAUCAGAUACCGUCCUAGUCUUAACCAUAAACUAUGCCGACUCGGGAUCGGAGGCGCGCAA